UAUCUGCCGUGGGCGUUGGAAGAUUGAAGGGGGCUGCUCCUAGUACGAGAGGACCGGAGUGGACGAACCUCUGGUGUUCGGGUUGUGUCGCCAGACGCAUUGCCCGGUAGCUAAGUUCGGAAUCGAUAACCGCUGAAAGCAUCUAAGCGGGAAGCGAGCCCUGAGAUGAGUCUUCCCUGAUACUUUAAGUAUCCUAAAGGGUUGUUCGAGACUAGAACGUUGAUAGGCAGGGUGUGUAAGCGUUGUGAGGCGUUGAGCUAACCUGUACUAAUUGCCCGUGAGGCUUAACCAU
rnacentral:rRNA from 1 species